rnacentral:rRNA from 1 species
GACGAACGCUGGCGGCGUGCUUAACACAUGCAAGUCGAGCGGGAAACUUCGGUUUCCAGCGGCGGACGGGUGAGUAACACGUGGGCAACCUGCCUCACAAUGGAGGAUAGCCUUCCGAAAGGAAGAUUAAUACCCCAUAAUACAAGAAAAACGCAUGUUUUUCUUGCCAAAGAAUUUUGUUGUGAGAUGGGACCGCGGCGCAUUAGCUUGUUGGUGAGGUAACGGCUCACCAAGGCUUCGAUGCGUAGCCGACCUGAGAGGGUGAUCGGCCACAUUGGAACUGGGACACGGUCCAGACUCCUACGGGAGGCAGCAGUGGGGAAUAUUGCACAAUGGAGGAAACACUGAUGCAGCUACGCCGCGUGAGUGAUGAAGGUCUUCGGAUUGUAAAGCUCUGUCUUCUGGGACGAUAAUGACGGUACCAGAGGAGGAAGCCACGGCUAACUACGUGCCAGCCGCCGCAGUAAGAC